GGUUACUGCUAUCGGUGUUCGCCUAAGCCAUGCGAGUCAUAUGUUCGUAAGAACAUGGCGUACUGCUCAGUAACACGUGGAUAACCUGCCCUUGGGUCCGGCAUAACCCCGGGAAACUGGGGAUAAUUCCGGAUAACGCACAUAUGCUGGAAUGCUUUUUGCGUAAAAUGGAUUCGUCUGCCCAAGGAUGGGUCUGCGGCCUAUCAGGUAGUAGUGGGUGUAAUGUACCUACUAGCCUACGACGGGUACAGGUUGUGAGAGCAAGAGCCCGGAGAUGGAUUCUGAGACAUGAAUCCAGGCCCUACGGGGCGCAGCAGGCGCGAAAACUUUACAAUGCGGGAAACCGUGAUAAGGGGACACCGAGUGCCAGCAUCCUAUGCUGGCUGUCCGGGUGUGUAAAAUACACCUGUUAGCAAGGGCCGGGCAAGACCGGUGCCAGCCGCCGCGGUAACACCGGCGGCCCGAGUGGUGAUCGUGAUUAUUGGGUCUAAAGGGUCCGUAGCCGGUUUGGUCAGUCCUCCGGGAAAUCUGACAGCUCAACUGUUAGGCUAUCGGAGGAUACUGCCAGACUUGGAACCGGGAGAGGUAAGAGGUACUACAGGGGUAGGAGUGAAAUCUUGUAAUCCCUGUGGGACCACCUGUGGCGAAGGCGUCUUACCAGAACGGGUUCGACGGUGAGGGACGAAAGCUGGGGGCACGAACCGGAUUAGAUACCCGGGUAGUCCCAGCCGUAAACGAUGCUCGCUAGGUGUCAGGCAUGGCGCGACCGUGUCUGGUGCCGCAGGGAAGCCGUGAAGCGAGCCACCUGGGAAGUACGGCCGCAAGGCUGAAACUUAA
rnacentral:rRNA from 1 species